CUCGUUCCCUUGUCAUUCCCAACAGGCAACCAGAACAGAGUCGAGAGAGAGAUUCAUGGCGACUCGGUGGUUCCCUAUCCGCUCGAUUCGCUAGGCUGGCCGGCGUUCUCCCUCCGGCUGCUUCACUCCCGUCCGGCUGCCCACCCCCUCCUACUCCCCCGCUGUUCGCGCCGUUAGUCUGCAGCAUCUCUCGACCGCCGCACCCACCCCCGGCCUCUAUUUCUGCCUCGGCGACUUCGCUGGUCUUUGUGAUUCGGGGAUUUCUUCUCUAAUUCUCAGUGGGUUUUCACUGUAAUUCCGCUUAUUAGCUGUAAUAUCCAAUUGGAUUUACAGCAUAAAUCAAGUUGCACUGAUAUCGCCAGUGGUUUUAGUGUAAUUGACGGUAAUUCUUAUUUUUGGAUCUUUAGUGUAUUUUAGUGGGUCUUUUUACAGUGUAAUCCUUACUGGAAUUUACACUGGAAUUUGUACUGUUUUGUUUCAUCUUCUGUAACUUAUAGUCUAUAUUAAUCUGAAUACCUGUGUACUUACCGUCUAAGUUAAUGUACAUUAACCCUGUAACUUACUAUCCCAUUCCCAGUCUAUUUUUCAGUGUAUGUACACUGUAAAGUCAUUUGGAUUCUAUGUAAUUACACCGUAAUGUUAGUGUACUUACACUCAAUUUCCCUGUGUAAUUUUAUUGAAUUUUAUUUGUAAUUGUAAUGAUUUACAUAUGUAAUUACAGUCUAAGUUAAUGUACAUUUUUAACCCUGUAACUUACUAUCCUAUGUACUGUAAUUUCCAAUCUAUUUUCAGUAUUUACACAGGAAGGUCAGAGUAAUUUACAACCAAGUUAUAAUGUGACAAAAUUAUCUCAGUAAUCUCUCAAGAUAUGUUGAUUUCUGUACUUUUUUGAGUGUAAGUACAAUGCGUAGCUUCAGAAAUUUGGACCAUACAUCUAGGUGUUUUUUUCUACUCAAGACUUAAAUUUUUGUACUGUGUGCAUAUGACAGUUACUGGGGUCUAAUAGCAAGAGAAUUAAGUCGGUCAUUUUGGCUUCAUCUUACAUGAAGGAGUGCAUCUUCAUCUUGCUGGAGAGGGAACUGUUCACAGGGAGGUGGAGAAGAUUGUCAGGUGAGGAUCUCUUACCUGUGCAUCCAUGAUUUUCUCCAGGUUUGCCCUCUGGAUCUUGGAGGAAUUCCCCCGGUGAUUUCUUUUUUGAAUGGGUGGACAAGCACAUCGACACAUUCAGGGGACAGGAACAAAACGGAGCACAUGUGACACUAGUUAAACUCUGUGUUGCCAAAAACUAUGACUGGAAACGAAUUGGAUUUCAGAUAGUUCCAAAAACACAUAUCAUCUUGGAUUUAUUAGUGGAUUUACAGUGUCUUUUUAGUGGAUUUUACAGUGGUUUCUUUAAUGUUCCUUACAGUGUAAUUCUUAGUGUUUUAUCUUAGCAGUUUUUAGUGCAAAAGUGUAAUUCUAGUGGAUUUUACACUGUAAUUCUUAGUGUUUAAUCUUAGCAGUUUUUUAGUGGAUUUACAGUGUAAUUUUAGUGGAUUUUUGCAGUGUCACUUUAAUGCAUCUUUCACUAUAAUUCUCAAUGGGCAUGAUAGAAA